CACGUAGGGUGCAAGCGUUGUCCGGAAUUAUUGGGCGUAAAGGGCUCGUAGGCGGUCCGUCGCGUCGGGAGUGAAAACUCGGGGCUCAACCCCGAGCCUGCUUUCGAUACGGGCGGACUAGAGGUAGGUAGGGGGAGAACGGAAUUCCUGGUGUAGCGGUGGAAUGCGCAGAUAUCAGGAGGAACACCGGUGGCGAAGGCGGUUCUCUGGGGCCUUACCUGACGCUGAGGAGCGAAAAGCGUGGGGGAGCGAAACAGGG
rnacentral:rRNA from 1 species